GUGGUACCACACUCAUUAAAGAUGGAACUAUACAGAGAAGACUAGCAUGGCCCUGCACAGGACAUGCACAUCCAUGAAGCAAUCCAUAUUUUAAAGUUUUGUUUCUCCUACA
rnacentral:snRNA from 1 species